GAUGAACGCUGGCGGCGUGCCUAACACAUGCGAGUCGAACGAAGCGCCUUACCGGAUUCUUCGGAUGAAGGUCUGGUGACUGAGUGGCGGACGGGUGAGUAACGCGUGGGUAACCUGCCCUGUACAGGGGGAUAACAGCUGGAAACGGCUGCUAAUACCGCAUAAGCGCACGAGGAGACAUCUCCUUGUGUGAAAAACUCCGGUGGUACAGGAUGGGCCCGCGUCUGAUUAGCUGGUUGGCAGGGUAACGGCCUACCAAGGCAACGAUCAGUAGCCGGUCUGAGAGGAUGAACGGCCACAUUGGAACUGAGACACGGUCCAAACUCCUACGGGAGGCAGCAGUGGGGAAUAUUGCACAAUGGGGGAAACCCUGAUGCAGCAACGCCGCGUGAGUGAAGAAGUAUUUCGGUAUGUAAAGCUCUAUCAGCAGGGAAGAUAAUGACGGUACCUGACUAAGAAGCUCCGGCUAAAUACGUG
rnacentral:rRNA from 1 species